UACAGAGGUCUCAAGCGUUGUUCGGAUUCAUUGGGCGUAAAGGGCGCGUAGGCGGCGGGGUAAGUCGGGUGUGAAAUCUCAGAGCUCAACUCUGAAACUGCACUCGAUACUGCUCUGCUUGAGGACUGGAGAGGAGACUGGAAUUCACGGUGUAGCGGUGAAAUGCGCAGAUAUCAGGAGGAACACCGGUGGCGAAGGCGGGUCUCUGGGCAACAACUGACGCUGAGGAGCGAAAGCGUGGGGAGCGAACAGG
rnacentral:rRNA from 1 species